UUCUCACUAGAUCUCUAGGGUUUUUUAUCCUACUUUCUCCAUAGUUAUUUCUGCAAAGAUUCAAAGUAAAUAAAUAGGGAAAAAAAAGGAGAGAAACAGUUUAGGUGGUCAAAACCAAUGGAAUAUUUGAUGUUGGAGAUCCUAGCUGAUGAAAUGAAGCAAGGAAAAAAAUCAACUAAUCAGUUUAAGGCCACCUCAUUCAAUUGUGUUUUGGAUGCCAUUAACUAACAAAUUAGAAUGGACUUUUCAGCUAAACAUAAUCAUCUUAAAACACUAUGAAGCGCAUGGAAUACCGUACAAACUCUACUCAACAAAAGUGGUCUUGGAUGGGAUGACAACUUGAAGAUGAUUACUGCGAGUCUUAGAGUAUAUGAUCUCCAUGUUCAGGAGCAUCCUACUCACGAUAAGUUCAUCAACAAGAAGAUUGAUAUGCUUGAAGAAAUGUCUCUUGUGUGUGGGAACGAUCGAGCUAGGGGUGAUUAUGCUAAGUCAUUUGAUGAUAUAAA